rnacentral:lncRNA from 1 species
AAAUGAUAUGUGAUUUUUUCAACAAAAAGAGUUUUUUUAUAUACAUACAAUAUUCGUAAGAAAGACUCAUUUUUAUUGAUUGGUACCUUUAUUUCUUGUUCUUUAUGAUUCACAUUUAUAUCUAUAGAAUCCGCCGUUAUGCCACAGAAAUCUAAUUAGUUGAACUUAAUAAAAGAAAGAAUCCAAAAAAAGACCUUCCUUUUUAUCUCUGUCUAUUUUCUUCGUUCUACUUUUAAUUUAUAAGGAAUAAAAUAUACCAAGGGGUUUAAGAACCCAUUGCCUAAUGAAAACUUUAAUCUUUUUCUACUAACCGGUCAAAUUCGAGGAAAGAAUACUCCUAAAUUUCAUUUUUAAAUUUGAAUGAGACUAGUAAUUAAAGUUAUUAAUCUGUUAAAGGAUACGUGGUUUGAUAAAAGAGAUCUUAGUUAUUUUUUUAUUAAUUUUAUUUUACCCCUUUCGAUAAAUAUCGAUAAAUAGAAAAUCAAGUUAAUUUUAUAUAACAAGUUAAUUUUAUAUAAAAUGUCGGAUAUUAUAGCGUUUUCUAUAAUCUAUAAAUGUUUUUUUUUAUUGAAAUGGAAAAUAAUAAAUCAAUUCCAUAAUGAACUAGUUAAUGAUUUGGAACAAACUAACUAAAAGUUCUUAUUUUAUUAGGACAAGUUUUUUAUCUUAGUUAAUCCUAUGAUUCAUAGCAGAAUCAAG